rnacentral:rRNA from 1 species
UACGAAGGGGGCUAGCGUUGCUCGGAAUCACUGGGCGUAAAGCGCACGUAGGCGGCUUCUUAAGUCAGGGGUGAAAUCCUGGAGCUCAACUCCAGAACUGCCUUUGAUACUGAGAAGCUUGAGUCCGGGAGAGGUGAGUGGAACUGCGAGUGUAGAGGUGAAAUUCGUAGAUAUUCGCAAGAACACCAGUGGCGAAGGCGGCUCACUGGACCGGAACUGACGCUGAGGCGCGAAAGCGUGGGGAGCAAACAGGG